rnacentral:rRNA from 1 species
ACGAACCGUCCUAACGUUGUUCGGAAUCACUGGGCUUAAAGGGCGCGUAGGCGGGCUCUCAAGUCCGGGGUGAAAUCUUUCGGCUCAACCGGAAAAUAGCCUUGGAUACGGGGAGUCUCGAGCGAGGUAGGGGCGGGUGGAACUUCCGGUGGAGCGGUGAAAUGCGUUGAUAUCGGAAGGAACGCCGGUGGCGAAAGCGACCCGCUGGACCUCUUCUGACGCUGAGGCGCGAAAGCCAGGGGAGCAAACGGG